rnacentral:tRNA from 1 species
GCGGGUAUAGCUUAAUGGUAAAGCUCCAGCCUUCCAAGCUGAUUAUGCGGGUUCGAUUCCCGCUACCCGCUCCA